CUGCUUGAUCUGCCCAGCUUUUUGAUAGUUCCUUAGGAUUCUUUGUUGCUAUCAGUUCAUUAUAUUAGUUUUUUGAUAGUUCCUUAGGAUCCAGAAAAAUAUCUCUUCUUUUUAGUAUGUAUAAAUUACAUAAUGAAGUUAUCCACAGUAAUUAAUUUCUAAAGUUGAUCAAUAUGUCUUCAAAAAUCGUGAGUUGCAAAUUUUUUGAACGAUUAGUUACCACUUUGAAUUGAAACAAAUAAAAAGGAAAUUAAGGUCCAAGUUUGUGGUCCAAUUGUAUAUGUUGAGAAUCAUUUGUUGGCGGGGAAAGAGGAACAUAAUAUGAAAGAAAAGAAAACAAGAGGGAAGUAUUGGCAAGCAUAGUGAAUGUACCUUCAGAUAAUGAUCAGCAAGUUAAUCAUCUGCCCAGAUAUUUAGAUAUUGAGUUGAAAAAACUAAUGUAAUGUUUUAGUACCACAAAAGUGCCAAAAUCUCAAAUUUUUGACACCCCAUUUCAUCUAACAGAUGUGUCAACAUGUUAAAUCUUCAAAUCUUUUUUGGAACUCAUAUAAGGUAGCCUAGCUCUUCAAUAUAGGGAAAGGGGACAUGGGGAGGAAUACAAGGUGCAGUCCAACUGGAUAAGCAAAUCUUCAUAUAUUUGGGGUUCUAAAGGGUCUAGUAAAAUUACAGAAGUAGGUGGUCUACUGUAGGAACCGUAGGAACUGUAGGUGCCACAUCUAAAGGGUGUUCUUUUUGCUAUUGUAGUAAAAGCUGAAUCUUGGAGGUGUAUGUAGAUCAUUUUCUUUUAGUUGAUACUAGUGUUAUGAAUAAGUUCAUGACAGGUGAUGUAAUUUUUCUAAGUACUUGGUCCUGCUGCAUGGACAUCUCCCUCUCUCCCUUUCUUUUCUUGUGCAUGCUUACAGGAAGGGGAUUGGAGAAAACACAAGAAACUCAUCUUAAAUACUAAUUUUCCCCUUUUUUAAUCUGUUACAUUUUGCUUUGCUUUUCUAGUAGUUGUAAACUCAGUACUUUCUAUCUCUUUGGUUUUUUGAGAGAUUUAAGGUUAUAUUCAGUAUACCACUUCGUUUCUCUUCUUCCAAGGCAAAAUUUAAAUCCUUUAUGGAUAGGCACAGUCUUGUGAAAUAGCUGUCCGAGCUGUCAACUUGUAGUGCUAUUUUCAACUAAAUAGUGCUCUACUUAGGUGCCUGUCAUUUGUGAUAUUGCUCAGUUUUCUAUCAUUUUUGUCCUGAUCAGGUUUCUUUUAGCCCUGUUAGUAGCAUGGUUAAUCUAGUCAUCAUUGGUCAAUAGUUGGGCCAUAUUUGCCUGAGAAGUGAGGCUCUUUAGCUUCUAAAUUCACUGCUUUAUACCCUGCUCUAAAGACAAAAUUGAUAAUUCCCUUUUUCUCUUGCUAAUUCAGUGCUAAAGCGUGUGUUUAAUUAGAUUUGCAAUGGCCAAGGUCUCUCAAGUUUGAAUAUUCAUUUGACACCCAUUACUUAAAAUGUCUAAUAUAUACUACUAAAAUCAUUUAGGUAUAUUUCAAGGAAAGUUCUAAGUUGACUUCAUUGUCAAUAUGUUUGUAUGUUAUAACUAGUUUUUUUAUAGUGAGCAGUUUUAAGUUGAAAAUAAAGAAUGCGCAUGUAUGACAUUAUAGAUCUGCCUCUAAGCUACUACUCAUACAGAAUUUGGUGGUUUAAAGCAAGGCAUUCGAUAUUAUCAGGGGUGGCACCUUAGCAAUAUUAGCACUGAAUUUGAUUCUUCACAAUCUUAAGGUCUAUCUUCUUAAUUGAAUAACUUUUGUAUAGGCUGUUAAAAAUGGUCGAGAUCCAACACCAAGUGAGUUGCAUUUGCACGUCCAUAUACAUGGUAAUGAUUGAAAAUCUUUUGUUGUUGAGAAAUCCCGAAUCGUACAUGAAAAAUAUCAGGAGAUAUUACAACAACCAACACAGACUCAAUCUAAUAUUGAUCAGUGUAAAGUAUAUUAUUAACCCGCGGGAGGAGAAAAGAAAAGAAGAGUAUAUGGUCUUGGAUCUCAAGCAAAAUGCUACUACGGGCCAAAUCUUCAUGACUCUUUUGGAUCUGAUGCUUCAUCGUCAGCAACACCUCCAAAUGCUCAAUCAACACCGAUAGGAAAUCUGGAUGAGUUAGUGAUGCGAUUGAUUCCUGCACUGACAGAUCAUAUAGUUUCUAUAAUUGUUGAGCGGGUACGCGAAUUAGUUUUCUUACCCUCGCAUAAGACAAAUACUGAUCUUACCAACCACUCAUUAGAUGUGGCACCUACAGUUCCUACAUCUUCUACUGCUGCUAACAUUAAUGAGGUUCAUGCAUUGGAUUUUGAUGAUGACCGUAACUCUCCAGCCUCGCAUAGUUAGCCUAUUUUGUUUGGACUUUAUUGUUGGUCCUUGUGGAUAUUUUGUACUUAACAAUACCGUUAUAUGCAUUAUGCUAUAUAUUUUUGACCUUGUUGAA